rnacentral:lncRNA from 10 species
UUUGAUGGACCUCAGAGCUGGAAUUGGGCAGGAUGUGACCACAGAUCUGACUGUCCUGAUUCUAGUCCUCUCAGAAUCAUGGAGCCAGGCCUUGAGGGGGAUGCCACUGCAUGCACUUUAGGAACAUUGAGAAGAGACCUAUAUACCAACGAACCAGUUGAGACUAGUUCUCUGCUCCCUCCCUUCACCCCUAAGCUUGGAUACUGGAUGAUCCCAGACAGGUGCCUAAACUGGGAACUUUUGCUGGGAGGGGAAGUGGCUAUGUGGGUGACCUAGUGAGCACUGGGUAAGAACACAAAUGAUUAGAUAAGCAAAGGACUGAACAACGUGAUGUCCUAGAGCCAGUUGGGUCUGUGGCCUCAGUGUCAGCCUCCCCUUUACCAGUCUAGAGUGAUGUGCCAAAUGGGAUUUGGAAACUGUUCAUCCAAAAGAUGAGUAAUUCUCCUAAUCCUCCAUUUCUGCCUUCCUGUACUUCUAGCAGGAUCAAACUAGCAUGGUGUUAAUUUGUAAAGCUGAUAACACAGUCAAGGAAAGAAAGAGCUUGAAGCCCUUGCCCCUCUGUGUGUAGGCGGAAAGGACCAUUCAUCCUCAUGAGUGUGACAACAUUGCAGAGGCCUUUGGUUCAAGCCUCUAUGUUGUAUGCCACCCUCUCCCCAAAAGAAAAAACCAUUAGUCACUGUCUGUGGAAGGAACCACUGUUGGGGAAGGGGAAAGUAUUUUAACAUGUCUACGUGAAUGCUAGUUGUUUUAGUUAAGUAUGGAGCAAAAAUCAAACUCAAAGCAACAUCCAGGCAGCAGUUAGCUGAAUUGGCAGUAUUUGUCCACAGCCAUCCCAUACUUGAGAGACUGUGAAGGCCUCUUCUUGAAAUUAAAAAAAAAAAAAUUUCAUGGAUUCUACAAUCAAGUAUUUUGCUCAGUGAAUAUACACGUAACUGCAUGCUCCUUCAUCCAAUAGAAAGGCCUAAGUAGCCUUUAACAGUUGCAGCCGUAAGAAGGUAGAAUGCUUGGCUGGUAAGCAGUAGCCUGGGGUCUACAGAGUGCAACUGCCCAUAGGCCAGCCCUUCCCCUUUUUGGGCUUUAGUCUCCUAUUCUGUCAGUUUGGGGGUUCAAAUGACUAAUUUACAAGAAGAAAAUGAGACUGAAGCAGAUUUGAUAGCUGAGAGCUUGGUAACUCUGGAUACAACUCUCAAGAGAUUUUAUGCUUCUGAGGCAAAUGCUUAGGAUGAAAUGGGAGAAAGAGGGUAUAGCUACAUGAGCAGCUGUUUGAAACACAUUCCAGGUCGAUCACUAGGAGUUGGCAGUAAUUGGAAACUUUUUGCUGUCCCUAAGCAGGAGGUGCCUAAUAAAAGAUGAAAGACUCUGAAAUGGAAAAACUUUACCAGGUAAAAUUUCAACAAAAGGUCAAGGUGUAUUUGCUUUUUUGCUAGCUGGAACUGGCAUAGACUUUUGGGCCUACCUUAGGCCUGCAUUUUGAGGACUGCCUGCAAACUAAAAGAGCAAGGGCAUUCCUUUCAUCAGACUCUGCAGCCCAUAGAUAAAAACGCUUGUGGGGGCAGGAGCAUUUGGAAAAAGAAAGGUCAAAUGGAGCAAAUGGUUGUGCCAGAGUAGCAGGUAAGGGAUCCAUACCCAGGACUGGAGGCUCCAGAUGGGUUACCAGCACUGAAGCCCACAGCAGCUGUCUUUCCUUCAAAGGUUUUACUCAGGUUCUCCUCUGAGGAUUUCUGCAAAUGUCCCCUAAAAUGAUCCCAGGUCAUGUAUAGGAGCACUGAACUACUAAAACUCACCACAUUCCACACACCCACCACCUCAGCACUCCUGCCACACAGGUGAGAUCCAUUUCCCCAAGCUUAGAGAGGGAAGCCCUUUGAUGAGACACAGGCUUAAAGCAGACUAAUUUCAUCCAAAGCAGAAGCUCCACACAUCACAGGGCUUACGGCAGAGUCAUCUCAGUAGAGCACUCCUGGAAUAAAAAGAAUAGGCUUGGUGCCUGGUUUGGGCUGAGAAAAGGGAUUUGGAUCUUUUGAGCUGGUCUCUCCAAAGGAGUCAAAGAACCAGGGAGAAAUAGUCUAAGUGUAGAACAAGGUGAGCAAGAUGGGAGAGGGUGGCCGUCUACUUCGGCGGGUUGGGGCAAACACCAGAGGGAGAAAGACAUUAACGGCCUCUCAAAGCAGUGGUCCUCCUCUGGGCUGUGAACUCUUUGAAGCUAUGCAAGGUAAGGAUGGGUCCACAGUUUUCAUCAUUCUCAAGUCUAUGACCCAAAUAUGUUGCAAGACCUGGGAAUAAAUCUGGACAAAGAGGCAAAUGGGAAAAUUGGACUGUCUUUUGGGGGUGAGGUAGAAGAGUUCCUCAGUUAGUUGCCCUGUGUUAAGCCCGUACCAUCUUGCCAGACACUUGUCACUCAUUUCACCAUCACCACAACCCAAGAACUUUAUAAUAUUUCUAUUUUAUGGGUGAGAAGCUUAAGGCUCAUGAAAGUAGGUUUCUUGCCUAUAUCACAUAAUGAGGAAGUGACGGGCUAAGAGGACGAGCCCAAGACUGUAAGACUCAGCCUUUUCCCCGUAUCCUGCCUCACAAUGUAGUUUAUCUUUUAGGUUUUGUUUUGAAGUCUCGCUCUGUCACCCAGUGACCCAGAAUCAAAGUUGCUGCUAGCAGGAAGAGUCCUUAGAAGAGUUUCUAAAAACGGAUCUCAGAUCCCAUAGCAUAUACUGUACUGACUGAGCUAUGACAACUCAUCAUAUUCCACAUACCUGCUACCACAGGUGAGAUCCAUGUCCCGAAGCUUAGAGAGAAGCCUCUCUAAGGAACUAGAGGCAUAAAACUGCCAACCACACCUACCCCCACCAUCUCUCGGUGGGCGAAGGGAAAAUGGUAUCUUUAAUACCAAAAAGAUAAUUUAAAGGCUUUAGAUCAGGGGUAAACUUUAUUCAUAAAGGGCCAGAGUAAAUCUUUGAGGCUUUAUGAACCACAUAUGGUUGAAAACAUUGUUGGCCUCCUGGCACAGAAACAGAAAACUGCUGUGGAGGCUAAGAGAUCACCUCAUCCGUUUUAUAGCUGAUAUCCCCUCAGGCUAAGGCCUGCCUUAGGAGGAAAGGCAGUAGAGCAAGCUUGUCCAACCGCAGUCCUGGGCAGCAAGCAGCCCAGGAUGGCUUUGAAUCCGACCCAACAAAAAUUUGUAAACUUUCUAAAACGCUGAGGGUUUUUUUUGCCAUUUUUUAAAGCUUAUCAGCUAUUGUAAUGUUAGCGUAUUUUAUGUGUGGCCCAGGGAAGCUAAAAGAUUGGACACCCCUGCAAUAGAGCAUAGUUUUAAGAGCAUCACUUUAGUGCAAGACUCCACCAUUCACUGCUGUAUAAUUUCUGGCAAAUUACUUAAUCUCUCUGUGCCCAUUUCCUCAUCUGCCAAAUGAGGAUACGUUAAAGGUGCUUGUGAGGUUUAACAGUUCAUUUGUGUAGCUAAGAAGAGUAUUUGAGGCCCAGAGCACCAUGGCUUACGCCUGUAAUCCCAGCACUUUGGGAGGCUGAGGCGCACAGAUCAUCUGAGGUCAGGAGUUCCAGACCAGCCUGGCCAACAUGGUGAAACCUGUCUCUACUAAAAAUACAAAAAAUUAGCCAGGUGUGGUGUCCUGCACCUGUAAUCCCAGCUACUCGGAGGCUGAGACAGGAGAAUCGUUUGAACCCAGGAGGCACAGAUGGCAGUGAGCCGAGAUCACACCACUGCACUCCAGCCUGGGUGAGAGAGCAAGACUCCA